AGAGUUUGAUCCUGGCUCAGGACGAACGCUGGCGGCGUGCUUAACACAUGCAAGUCGAACGGUGAUGGACCGGCUUGCCGGUCUUGAUCAGUGGCGAACGGGUGAGUAACACGUGAGCAACCUGCCCUCGACUCCGGGAUAACCACCGGAAACGGUGGCUAAUACUGGAUAUGACCUCUUGCCGCAUGGUGGGGGGUGGAAAGUUUUUCGGUCGGGGAUGGGCUCGCGGCCUAUCAGCUUGUUGGUGGGGUGAUGGCCUACCAAGGCGACGACGGGUAGCCAGCCUGAGAGGGUGACCGGCCACACUGGGACUGAGACACGGCCCAGACUCCUACGGGAGGCAGCAGUGGGGAAUAUUGCGCAAUGGGCGGAAGCCUGACGCAGCGACGCCGCGUGAGGGAUGAAGGCCUUCGGGUUGUAAACCUCUUUCAGCUCCGAAGAAGCGAGAGUGACGGUAGGAGCAGAAGAAGCACCGGCUAACUACGUGCCAGCAGCCGCGGUAAUACGUAGGGUGCAAGCGUUGUCCGGAAUUAUUGGGCGUAAAGAGCUCGUAGGCGGCUCGUCGCGUCUGCUGUGAAAGCCCGGGGCUUAACCCCGGGUCUGCAGUGGGUACGGGCGGGCUAGAGUGCGGUAGGGGAGACUGGAAUUCCUGGUGUAGCGGUGAAAUGCGCAGAUAUCAGGAGGAACACCGGUGGCGAAGGCGGGUCUCUGGGCCGUAACUGACGCUGAGGAGCGAAAGCAUGGGUAGCGAACAGGAUUAGAUACCCUGGUAGUCCAUGCCGUAAACGUUGGGCGCUAGGUGUGGGCCGCAUUCCACGUGGUCCGUGCCGCAGCUAACGCAUUAAGCGCCCCGCCUGGGGAGUACGGCCGCAAGGCUAAAACUCAAAGGAAUUGACGGGGCCCCGCACAAGCGGCGGAGCAUGCGGAUUAAUUCGAUGCAACGCGAAGAACCUUACCAAGGCUUGACAUGCAGGGAAAUCCUCCAGAGAUGGUGGUCCGCAAGGUC
rnacentral:rRNA from 1 species